GAUGAACGCUGGCGGCGUGCCUAAUACAUGCAAGUCGAGCGAACGGACGAGAAGCUUGCUUCUUUGAUGUUAGCGGCGGACGGGUGAGUAACACGUGGAUAACCUACCUAUAAGACUGGGAUAACUUCGGGAAACCGGAGCUAAUACCGGAUAAUAUUUUGAACCGCAUGGUUCAAAAGUGAAAGACGGUCUUGCUGUCACUUAUAGAUGGAUCCGCGCUGCAUUAGCUAGUUGGUAAGGUAACGGCUUACCAAGGCAACGAUGCAUAGCCGACCUGAGAGGGUGAUCGGCCACACGGGAACGGAGACACGGUCCAGACUCCUACGGGAGGCAGCAGUAGGGAAUCUUCCGCAAUGGGCGAAAGCCUGACGGAGCAACGCCGCGUGAGUGAUGAAGGUCUUCGGAUCGUAAAACUCUGUUAUUAGGGAAGAACAUAUGUGUAAGUAACUGUGCACAUCUUGACGGUACCUAAUCAGAAAGCCACGGCUAACUACGUG
rnacentral:rRNA from 1 species